GUAGGGAAUCUUCGGCAAUGGACGAAAGUCUGACCGAGCAACGCCGCGUGAGUGAAGAAGGUUUUCGGAUCGUAAAACUCUGUUGUUAGAGAAGAAUGUUGAUUAGAGUGGAAAAUUAAUCAAGUGACGGUAUCUAACCAGAAAGGGACGGCUAACUACGUGCCAGCAGCCGCGGUAAUACGUAGGUCCCGAGCGUUGUCCGGAUUUAUUGGGCGUAAAGCGAGCGCAGGUGGUUUAAUAAGUCUGAUGUAAAAGGCAGUGGCUCAACCAUUGUGUGCAUUGGAAACUGUUAGACUUGAGUGCAGUAGAGGAGAGUGGAAUUCCAUGUGUAGCGGUGAAAUGCGUAGAUAUAUGGAGGAACACCGGUGGCGAAAGCGGCUCUCUGGACUGUCACUGACACUGAGGCUCGAAAGCGUGGGUAGCAAACAGGAUUAGAAACCCUUGUAGUCC
rnacentral:rRNA from 1 species